AUGUAUAAAUACCCUAAAGGCACCAGAUCCCUUCUGAUCUUGGGAGCUAAGCAGGGUUAGCUCUGGUUGGUACUUGGAUGGGAGACCACCAAUGAAUACUGGAGGCUAUAUUUC
rnacentral:rRNA from 1 species